rnacentral:rRNA from 1 species
UACGAAGGGCGCAAGCGUUACUCGGAAUUACUGGGCGUAAAGCGUGCGUAGGCGGUGAGUUAAGUCUGUCGUGAAAGCCCCGGGCUCAACCUGGGAAUGGCGAUGGAUACUGGCUCGCUAGAGUGCGGUAGAGGAGAGUGGAAUUCCCGGUGUAGCAGUGAAAUGCGUAGAGAUCGGGAGGAACAUCAGUGGCGAAGGCGGCUCUCUGGACCAGCACUGACACUGAGGCACGAAAGCGUGGGGAGCAAACAGG